rnacentral:lncRNA from 1 species
UCCCCUCUCCCACAUUCACAAGCCUGUACAAAUUCUUUUCUCUGACUUUGUCUCCUAGUUCAAUAUAUAGUCUUUCAAAAGUUGUCGUCUUAGCUAAUGUUAUCGCUUACUUAGCCUCCAUUCUUGCUACCUUAUAUAUUUCCCUGCUUACCUACCUUUUGGUGCAGUCCACCCACUUUACAUAUGCAACCUUUUUUUUUCCACUUGCCUUGAACUUCUCCAUUCCAUCAAUACCCUCAACAUCAACCAAAGUUACCCUUCGACACCCCUAACACAUAUAUGGAUUUUUCCUAUUGCAACUAGCUAUCUUAUUGUACAUGCUUUUCGCUUCCUUACUACUCCUCUAAGAUUCCAUCGCCA